UUUUCAAAUAUUGCCAGUGGGUGGAGUCAGGCUCUGACCGGGGGUUUAGUUACCCUUUAAAGAUACUGUCCUAGUGACAAGAUGUUGUAAAGGUGCAAGUUUUGCUCUUUUUUUUUCUGAGCAUGUAUCCAGGGCACACUGAACUGUGCAAAUCAAGUCAUUUCAAAGGGAGUUUCCCUGAUUCCGAGUCUUCACACGGCCUGAGUGACUGAGCUACUGUACUCUAGGUGGAAAUUUGGAAUAGAUUGGAAACAUGACGUCAUUAAUUCACUCUUCCAUUGAAAUGUUCACACAUACACUCUUUCUCCCCCUGUCUCACUCUGUCUCUCUUUAGAAGAAUAGUUCACUGUUUGUGCAACAGGAAGUGUUCUGAGCUUGGUAAGUUGAAUUUUAAUCAAUGGCUACUGUCAAAUCUGCCUGGGGAAAAAAGCAACAAUAUUUUCUUGUAUGAUAUGUAAAUGGCACCGUUAAAUUUGAUAAUGAACACAGUGUAUCAUUUACCACUUUGCCUAAUUUUUCCCUCUUGGCAGUUGCACAGGUUUUCUGAAUCAGGCUGUUUUAAAUGCACUGAGUGACUGUAGGAGACCUCCAUCCUGGCACGGCCCUGAAGCAGCUUUUUAUCUCCCACCUCUAAUGCCUUACUUCUGUUUUACUGGACUAGAACUAAGAACAAAAGACCACUUCCUAUACAAAUUCUGAAAUGAAAGUAUGUUUUUCACACACAUACACACAAAUAGGUUGUGUGAGGUGAGAAGCGCUACAUUCAACAUCUGCUUAAUAGACGGAAAUAUGUUAACUCAGCUGUCUGAGGUGAGUCAUGGAGGAUCUCCUCAAGUUUACAUUCUAUUCCAGAGGAAUAAAUAACGUCCCACAGUGAAUAAAUGAUGACUUUGCUUUUUUACAACCAAAAUGGACUGUUUCAAAUCAGGAUGUAUAAACUGCAUUUUAUUAAUAUGAAUACUUUUAAUUACAAAUGACUUCUUUAUAAGUUUAUCUGCUCACUCAAUAGCUCCAACUCUAGUCUUAAAGUCAGCUGUGUCUUGCCUUCUUUAAAAUGACCAGUCACAUUUGCCUUUCAAAAGCCACUUCACGUCUACAGUUAUAUUCUGGUCUUGUCAAGUGGAGGUGGAGAGAGGACUUCCACAGUAUCUCCAUUCAGCCGGUGUGGAGGCCCUAAAUGGCCAAACCCCCAAGAGAGCCACAGAACCAGAACACUGUCCACAUUCAAUACACACAGUGGCAGAUGUUCCCUGAGGAUUGUUUGAAAAACCAUAUGAGGGUCCAUUGCUGUUUUUGAGGAACGCUGGCAUAAAGGACACCGUGUAAGAGGGUAUUGACACAGCUUUUCGGUGUCCGUUAAGGGGGAGGAAAGAAGUCUUUUUACUGGAUUUCGUUUAAAUGAAUGGAGGUAUUAUGCAGAUGUCACACCAACGGACCCCUACUGAUGUAUAUGAGCUUUCAGUGGUCAACUGACGGGUUACAGAGAGGUUAUUUUUUAAACGAAUGUAUUAAUGUGAAUUAAAGUAACAUUUAUGCAUGAAGUCAGAAUAUAAGAUUAAAAUGAUUUCCUAAGCUAAUAGCUUGGCAUUUACACAAAUUAUUAAAUUGAUUUAUUUUUA